rnacentral:rRNA from 1 species
UACGGAGGGUGCAAGCGUUAUCCGGAUUCACUGGGUUUAAAGGGUACCUAGACAGCAUUAUGAGCCUUACUUAAGGGACUAUUUUGCUAGAGUUUUAUAUACAGGAGGAUAUUUGUAGUAUUGAAGGUGUAGAGAUAAAAUUUGUUGAUAUCUUCAGGACGGAUAAAGGUGAAAACAAACCUCUAUGUAUAAACAGACGUUGAGGGACGAAGGCAUUGUGUAACGAACAGG